UGAAGAAGACCCAGUUGGGUCAAAACGUUGCAUUUUUAUAUUUAAUAUGGGAGUUUAAAGCAGUGUUGCGGACAUUACAUUAUUUUCGUUUUAAGUACUUUCAUUUGUCCUGCACCUGCCUGAAGCCGGUGUUUGUGUUCUGUGGCCUCGUCGAUGUUCCCUUCCUUUAGCGACUUGGUGACAUGUUGCCAUAACCUCCUACAAGCAGGCCGCAGCUUCUUCCUGGUGACUGGAAGUUUUGCCGUGUCGAUCACUUUGGUUUCCCCACUGCUGUAGGUGAACUCCAGCGUGCCGUUCCACUCUCCCUGGGCUUUGCACACAAUGGUGUUGGUCGGGUUGUGUUUGACCUCCGCCGUCACUCUGAUUCAGACAAACCGAGAGAUGUUGUUAGGAAUCUUUCUUGUCUGCCUGUUACCUUUUAUAUCUGCAUUCUGGGCACAUUUAUUUUACAUUUCAAAAGUAAAAUACUUAUGAACUUAAACCAACACUAUAAAGCAAUUUUCCCGCUUCGGUCCAGCGGUAAUGGACAAUUCCGCUUCCAACCUGUAGGGGGACCAAAGCGGGAAAAGUGCUUUAGUGUUGCUUUAACAUCACUCAUCACUUUACUAUGUGAAGAUAUUCUUUAUGUGAAUAUGAUCCCUGAUUUUAGAAAUAAAGCAUGUUUUUAUAUACUACUAUA